GCAGUUGAGUGAAAUUUCCGGGUGAUGGGGAAAUCAAAUCCUUCGUCGUUUGUGGGCUAAUCAUGAAGAAUAUCGUCUGCAUAAGUGCUUGACUUGGGCCGGAGUACCAGCACCUAAAAUGUUCUACUGCUAAAGCGCCUGUUCGUCUUAUAGAAUAUUAGCUCAUAAGUAUUGUAUUGUGCUUCUGCACCUCAAUGUAAACCGCAGAAAAUGAGUAGCCUACCGGCACCUAUUUAAGUCCAAGGUCAAGCACUGCCUGUCUGACAAAGAAUUCGGAAGACACACACGGUGGAGAGGAUUGGAUUUGUGAAGACACUGAUGGGGUUGCACAGCUGCACGGAGGGAGCAAAAGCCGAUUUCCCCCUCUGCACCUCCCCAUCCCCACAAUGGGACUACCGCCUCUCUCCCUCUCUUUCUCUCUCUCUCUUUCCGAGGAGUGGGGGUGGGGGCUGCCAUAUGGGAGCUCAGAAACAUGGAGUGGAUCCGAGGAGGGAGAGAGGGGAAUCUUUUUCCUCCUGGCGCUGGAUGUGGUGCUCUGCUCUGCGAAGUGAGUGAGAAAUGACCAUGGGUGACUCCUUACCCUGAAAGGCACACGAUCAACAAGACCGAAGAGGAGGAGGUAGCGGAGGUGUAGGGGAGGGGGUGGCAGAAGGGAGGCUGUUCCUCAGACGGCGCAGAGCAGCUCUCUUCUCGUCUCCCCUCAUCAUUGGUAUGCAGUGACUGUUCCCCAGGCGACAGGGCCACUGGGUUGGGGCUAAACUGACUGCAGGAGAGUCACGUCUACAAAGUAAAUGAGAGGAGAGCAAGACAGCAGGGAUCCCUACAGCCUACAGGAUAAGUUAAACCCAGGUGAUAUAUAAUAAACCCCACAUAGUGUUGUAACAAUUUGAUUUCCACUUCUCUGGUAAAGUUUUUAUUCCCUGCUCAUGUAUUGGUUGAGUAGGCAUUGGUUGGUGGAGGUGAAUUAGCAAUAAAUAUCCUAGGU